rnacentral:rRNA from 1 species
GAUGAACGCUGGCGGCGUGCCUAAUACAUGCAAGUCGAGCGAACGGACGAGAAGCUUGCUUCUCUGAUGUUAGCGGCGGACGGGUGAGUAACACGUGGAUAACCUACCUAUAAGACUGGGAUAACUUCGGGAAACCGGAGCUAAUACCGGAUGAUAUUUUGAACCGCAUGGUUCAAAAGUGAAAGACGGUCUUGCUGUCACUUAUAGAUGGAUCCGCGCUGCAUUAGCUAGUUGGUAAGGUAACGGCUUACCAAGGCAACGAUGCAUAGCCGACCUGAGAGGGUGAUCGGCCACACUGGAACUGAGACACGGUCCAGACUCCUACGGGAGGCAGCAGUAGGGAAUCUUCCGCAAUGGGCGAAAGCCUGACGGAGCAACGCCGCGUGAGUGAUGAGGGUCUUCGGAUCGUAAAACUCUGUUAUUAGGGAAGAACAUAUGUGUAAGUAACUGUGCACAUCUUGACGGUACCUAAUCAGAAAGCCACGGCUAACUACG